AAAGGAAGGAAGCAUGGUGAUGUGCACAGAAAUUGAAUUUACGGGUCCGCAUGUCUGCCCUCUCUGAUCUUCUCUGAUUUGAGGGCCUGGUUACGACCCACAUCU